GAUGAAGAACGUAGCGAAAUGCGAUAAGUAAUGCGAAUUGCAGAAUUUCCGUGAGUCAUCGAAUCUUUGAACGCACAUUGCGCCUGCCAGCACUCUGGCAGGCAUGCCUGUUCGAGCGUCAUUUCAACCAUCAAGCCCUAGGCUUGCGUUGGAGCCCUGCGGCUGCCGCAGGCCCCUAAAAGCAGUGGCGGGCUCGCUAUCACACCGAGUGCAGUAGAUUACUCUUCGCUCAGGGCGUGUGGCGGGUUCCAGCCGUGAAACCCCCUACUUCUCAAGGUUGACCUCGGAUCAGGUAGGAAUACCCGCUGAACUUAAGCAUAUCAAUAAGCGGAGGA
rnacentral:misc_RNA from 1 species